rnacentral:rRNA from 1 species
AUGGAAGCCAUUUUCUUGGUACGACAACUUAUGGAGAGAUAUAGGGAGCAAAAGAAGGACUUGCAUAUGGUGUUCAUUGACUUGGAGAAGGCCUAUGAUAAGAUACCGCGGAAUGUCAUGUGGUGGGCCUUGGAGAAACACAAAGUCCCAGCAAAGUACAUUACCCUCAUCAAGGACAUGUACAAUAAUGUUGUGACAAGUGUUCGAACAAGUGAUGUCGACACCGAUGACUUCCCGAUUAAGAUAGGACUGCAUCAGGGGUCAGCUUUGAGCCCUUAUCUUUUUGCAUUGGUGAUGGAUGAGGUCACAAGGGGUAUACAAGGAGAUAUCCCAUGGUGUAUGCUCUUUGCGGAUGAUGUGGUGCUAGUUGACGAUAGUCGGACGGGGGUAAAUUGGAAGUUAGAGUUAUGGAGACAAACCUUGGAAUCGAAAGGGUUUAGGCUUAGUAGAACUAAAACUGAGUACAUGAUGUGCGGUUUCAGUACUAAUAGGUGUGAGGAGGAGGAGGUUAGCCUUGAUGGCCAGGUGGUACCUCGGAAGGACACCUUUCGGUAUUUGGGGUCAAUGUUGCAGGAUGAUGGGGGUAUUGAUGAAGAUGUGAACCAUCGAAUCAAAGCCGGAUGGAUGAAGUGGCGCCAAGCUUCUAGCAUUCUCUAUGACAAGAGAGUGCCACAAAAGCUAAAAGGCAAGUUCUACAGGACAACGGUUCAACCCACAAUGUUGUAUGGCGUGGAGUGUUGGCCAACUAAAAGGCGACAUGUUCAACAGUUAGGGGUGGCGGAGAUGCGUAUGUUGAGAUGGAUGUGUGGCCACACGAGGAAGGAUCGAGUCCGGAAUGAUGAUAUACGAGAUAGAGUUGGGGUAGCACCAAUUGAGGAGAAGCUUGUCCAACAUCGUUUGAGAUGGUUUGGGCAUAUUCAGCGCAGGCCUCCAGAAGCUCCAGUGCAUAGCGGACGGCUAAAGCGUGCGGAGAAUGUCAAGAGAGGGCGGGGUCGACUGAAUUUGACAUGGGAGGAGUCCGUUAAGAGAGACCUGAAGGAUUGGAGUAUCGACAAAGAGCUAGCUAUGGACAGGGGUGCAUGGAAGCUUGCUAUCCAUGUGCCAGAGCCAUGA